rnacentral:tRNA from 63 species
GCCGCCGUAGCUCAGUGGUAGAGCGCAUCCUUGGUAAGGCUGAGGUCGUGGGUUCGAUUCCCCCCGGCGGCACCA